rnacentral:rRNA from 1 species
UACGUAGGGUGCGAGCGUUGUCCGGAAUUAUUGGGCGUAAAGGGCUCGUAGGUGGCCAACUAAGUCAGACGUGAAAUCCCCCAGGCUUAACCUGGGAACUGCGUGUGAUACUGGAUGGCUUGAAUUCGGGAGAGGGAUGCAGAAUUCCAGGUGUAGCGGUGAAAUGCGCAGAUAUCAGGAGGAACACCGGUGGCGAAGGCGGGUCUCUGGGCAACAACUGACGCUGGAGGAGCGAAAGCGUGGGGAGCGAACAGG